GGGUAGCCUAGUGGACAUGGCAUCUGCCCGGUAAGCGGAACACUGUGGGUUCGAUUCCCACACAAACACACAUAAACA